GAUAUGGUUGAUGCCUGUAUGGUUGAA
rnacentral:piRNA from 1 species